AUUGAACGCUGGCGGCAGGCCUAACACAUGCAAGUCGAGCGAGCGGCGGACGGGUGAGUACUGUAUGGGGACUGCCCGAUAGAGGGUGAUAACUACUGGAAACGGUGUCUAAUACCGCAUACUAUCGGAUAACCCAUAUGGGAUUAGCUAGUAGGUGGGGUAAAGGCUCACCUAGUCGACGAUCUCUAGCUGGUCUGAGAGGAUGACCAGCCACACGUGGACGGAGAAACGGCCCAAACUCCUACGGAGGCAGCAGUGGGGAAUAUUGCACAAUGGGCGCAAGCCUGAUGCAGCCAUGCCGCGUGUAUGAAGAGGGCCUUAGGGUUGUAAAGUACUUUCAGCGGGGAGGCGUUACCCGAAGAAGAAGCACCGGCUAACUCCGUGCCAGCAGCCGCGGUAAUAC
rnacentral:rRNA from 1 species